rnacentral:rRNA from 1 species
CAAGUCGAGCGGUAGAGAGAAGCUUGCUUCUCUUGAGAGCGGCGGACGGGUGAGUAAUGCCUAGGAAUCUGCCUGGUACUGGGGGAUAACGUUCGGAAACGGACGCUAAUACCGCAUACUUCCUACGGGAGAAAGCAGGGGACCUUCGGGCCUUGCGCUAUCAGAUGAGCCUANGUCGGAUUAGCUAUUUGGUGAGGUAAUGGCUCACCAAGGCGACGAUCCGUAACUGGUCUGAGAGGAUGAUCAGUCACACUGGAACUGAGACACGGUCCAGACUCCUACGGGAGGCAGCAGUGGGGAAUAUUGGACAAUGGGCGAAAGCCUGAUCCACCCAUGCCGCGUGUGUGUAACAAGGUCUUCGGAUUGUAAAGCACUUUAAGUGGGAGGAAGGGCAUUAACUUAAUACUUUAUUGUUUUGACGUUACCGACAGAAUAAGCACCGGCUAACUCUGUGCCAGCAGCCGCGGUAAUACAGAGGGUGCAAGCGUUAAUCGGAAUUACUGGGCGUAAAGCGCGCGUAGGUGGUUUGUUAAGUUGGAUGUGAAAUCCCCGGGCUCAACCUGGGAACUGCAUUCAAAACUGACUGACUAGAGU